UACGUAGGGUGCAAGCGUUAAUCGGAAUUACUGGGCGUAAAGCGUGCGCAGGCGGCUUUGCAAGACAGAUGUGAAAUCCCCGGGCUUAACCUGGGAACUGCAUUUGUGACUGCAUGGCUGGAGUGCGGCAGAGGGGGAUGGAAUUCCGCGUGUAGCAGUGAAAUGCGUAGAGAUCAGGAGGAAUACCGAUGGCGAAGGCAGGUCCCUGGGCUGACACUGACGCUCAUGCACGAAAGCGUGGGGAGCAAACAGG
rnacentral:rRNA from 1 species